CAGCAGCAGCCGCGGGAAUACAGAGGGUGCAAGCGUUAAUCGGAAUUACUGGGCGUAAAGCGCGCGUAGGUGGUUUGUUAAGUUGGAUGUGAAAGCCCCGGGCUCAACCUGGGAACUGCAUCCAAAACUGGCAAGCUAGAGUACGGUAGAGGGUGGUGGAAUUUCCUGUGUAGCGGUGAAAUGCGUAGAUAUAGGAAGGAACACCAGUGGCGAAGGCGACCACCUGGACUGAUACUGACACUGAGGUGCGAAAGCGUGGGGAGCAAACAGGAUUAGAUACCCGAGUAGUCCCUGUCUCUUAUAC
rnacentral:rRNA from 1 species